CCUACGGGAGGCAGCAGUGGGGAAUAUUGGACAAUGGGGGGAACCCUGAUCCAGCGAUGCCGCGUGAGUGAAGAAGUCUUUCGGUAUGUAAAGCUCUAUCAGCAGGGAAGAAAAUUACGGUACCUGACUAAGUAGCCCCGGCUAACUACGUGCCAGCAGCCGCGGUCAUACGUAGGGGGCAAGCGUUAUCCGGAUUUACUGGGUGUAAAGGGAGCGUAGACGGUGCAGCAAGUCUGAUGUGAAAGGUCGGGGCCCAACCCCGGGACUGCAUAGGAGACUGUUGGACUGGAGUGCAGGAGAGGUAAGCGGAAUUCCUAGUGUAGCGGUGAAAUGCGUAGAUAUUAGGAAGAACACCGGUGGCGAAGGCAGCUUACUGGAAUGUAACUGACGUUGAGGCUCGAAAGCGUGGGGAGCAAACAGGAUUAGAUACCCUUGUAGUC
rnacentral:rRNA from 1 species